rnacentral:rRNA from 1 species
GACGAACGCUGGCGGCGUGCUUAACACAUGCAAGUCGAACGGAAAGGCCCUGCUUUUGUGGGGUGCUCGAGUGGCGAACGGGUGAGUAACACGUGAGUAACCUGCCCUUGACUUUGGGAUAACUUCAGGAAACUGGGGCUAAUACCGGAUAGGAGCUCCUGCUGCAUGGUGGGGGUUGGAAAGUUUCGGCGGUUGGGGAUGGACUCGCGGCUUAUCAGCUUGUUGGUGGGGUAGUGGCUUACCAAGGCUUUGACGGGUAGCCGGCCUGAGAGGGUUACCGGCCAAAAUGAGACUGAGAAACGGCCCAGACUCCUACGGGAGGCAGCAGUGGGGAAUAUUGCAAAAUGGGCGGAAGCCUGAUGCAGCAACGCCGCGUGCGGGAUGACGGCCUUCGGGUUGUAAACCGCUUUCGCCUGUGACGAAGCGUGAGUGACGGUAAUGGGUAAAGAAGCACCGGCUAACUACGUG